rnacentral:rRNA from 1 species
UACGGAGGGUGCAAGCGUUAUCCGGAUUCACUGGGUUUAAAAGGGUGCGUAGGCGGACAGGUAAGUCAGUGGUGAAAUCUCUGGGCUUAACCCAGAAACUGCCGUUGAUACUAUUUGUCUUGAAUAUCCUGGAGGUAGGCGGAAUAUGUCAUGUAGCGGUGAAAUGCUUAGAUAUGACAUAGAACACCGAUACGAAGGCAGCUUACUACAGGAUGAUUGACGCUGAGGCACUGAAAGCGUGGGAGCAAACAGGA